rnacentral:rRNA from 1 species
GCGAUCUCUUACUCGCCAGAGAUGGCUUAGUGCUCGAAGAGAACCGUAACACAGGUGCUGCAUGGCUGUCGUCAGCUCGUGUCGUGAGAUGUUGGGUUAAGUCCCGCAACGAGCGCAACCCUUGUCAUUAGUUGCUACAUUCAGUUGGGCACUCUAAUGAGACUGCCGGUGACAAACCGGAGGAAGGUGGGGAUGACGUCAAGUCCUCAUGGCCCUUAUAGGUGGGGCUACACACGUCAUACAAUGGCUGGUACAAAGGGUUGCCAACCCGCGAGGGGGAGCUAAUCCCAUAAAACCAGUCGUAGUCCGGAUCGCAGUCUGCAACUCGACUGCGUGAAGUCGGAAUCGCUAGUAAUCGUGGAUCAGAAUGUCACGGUGAAUACGUUCCCGGGUCUUGUACACACC